UCCAAAUUGAGGUUUUAAAUUGAAUUGCCACUUAAACUAGAGGGUAAAUCAACAGUAACUAUGCGAAUAAAAGCAGCGUCAAUUGACAAAUUAGGUGCUGAGCAAAAUAAGACGUAAUCAAGCGAGGCGUGGAAAGUCAAAAGAAUCAUAAAAUGUGAGUAACUCAAUGAGGAUGAGUGUGAGUUUCACGACGAGCCAUUGCUAAAGGAUGAAACGUGACACAGGACAAUAACAACAUAUUCUAAAUGGGUAAACAUAUUUCAAGACCCUUUUAGUGCGCUUGCUGAAAAGGUAUUCAUGUACGUAUCUGCUGCAUUUAUGCAGUCCACCUUAUAUUUUGCUGCCACAUUUCUGUACGACAAUCUGUGCUGCGCCUUUCAACGUGUUUUAAGCUCGCUUCCCUUGAGCCGCGGCCAACUGCGCAAAUCCACAACAUUUGCCACAAUUGGCAUGUCGCUGCGGUCGGAUCGUUGCGAAACCAAAGUGCGGGCACUGAGCAAAGUAUGUGAAACCACGAAAAUGCGGUAAAACGAUUACCAAAAAUCGUGUGCAACAA